GCCCCUUGGAGGUGGGUGCACAUGCAUACAUGUGCGCAUGCACGCAUGCAUACACACACACACACACACACACACACACACACAC